rnacentral:sRNA from 1 species
UGAAGUCCAUGGGCGACGGUAACCACUCAC